UACGGGGGGGCAAGCGUUGUUCGGAAUUACUGGGCGUAAAGGGCUCGUAGGCGGGAUGGCAAGUCGGUCGUGAAAUCCUUCGGCUCAACCGAAGAACGUCGGCCGAUACUGCCGUUCUUGAGGGAUGCAGAGGAGAUUGGAAUUCCCGGUGUAGCGGUGAAAUGUGUAGAGAUCGGGAGGAACACCGGUGGCGAAGGCGGGUCUCUGGGCAUCUCCUGACGCUGAGGCGCGAAAGCGUGGGGAGCAAACGGG
rnacentral:rRNA from 1 species